AUCCAUAAAAGCAUGCUGCACCUUUGGCACAGCGCGACUUCCCUGGCCCUCCCCCUGCGGACCAGUGAACCUCGCCCGAGGGCUCAAUAAAGAAGAUUUUUGCCCUCUUUUUCUCACCUCUCAGCCUUAUUGAUCCAUGGUGCCCUUCCAUUGCCUUUCAUUGGUGCCGAAACCCGGGAGGGGACACCUCCUAAGCCCCCCCAGAGGCUCAGGGGGACUCCCCUCCUGGUCGGAUCAGUCCUCUCCCUCAGUCAGGUCAGGCUUCUCCUCCACGGCCAUCUGUCCAUUUCGUCCGGUUACUUGCUGCCAGGUCGCAGUUGCUGCAGCUACUCCAGUCCAAUUCGGCCGACGCUAGAUCAACUGAGAUGCAAAACCCAUGUUCACAUCAUGAGUGAGUCUUCUAACUCGGACAAUGCAAUCAACAAAUUCUAAGACCAAAUUCCGGUGGCACUGGCUCCAAAGCUCCUGAGUGUGGAAGGAGGUGAACAGGGAAAAGCAGAGAGGACAAAAGUCACAUCCCCUCCCCACAGACCCAUACUGGGGAAGGGUGGAAGAUUUAGCUGCGAGUCAAGUUCAGAAUUUUGAUUAACAUCUUGGCAUGCACAUUCGAAUUUCAGAAUCAAGACUGUUGGCCAUAAAAAAUGACUAUAGCCUUGUGUAUUACCUGAACUGAGCAGUAAAAAAAAAGUCAUGGUCCUUCUGGGGCUUUUAUUCUGAGACAGGAACCCUGAACAGGCAGGAGAAAGGGAAUGUUGACAGAGAAACAAAGACAGUUGGCGACACACGCUGACCGCCAUGCGGACGUCCAUCAAACCCAGCACUGGCCCUGGGUACGUGCGCCUUUGCUAUUACCCCAAUACAUUUUCUUCUGCAGAGCAAGCAACAGAACACAUGCAGACCUUAAUAAAUACCACUGGGUAAUGUGACAAUGGCCAAACUCUCCUCACGGGGGAGAGAGUGUCCCCCAGUUUUGCUCCCUUUUAAUUUCCAGGGUUCAUAAGUAGCUCUAAAGCUUUGCUCUACAAGGUUGAUACAUACGAUAUUAAUGUUUCCCCUAAGCAGUAUAACAUAAAUAUAUUUGCUAUCUUGACAUUCU
rnacentral:lncRNA from 1 species